UUCAAAAACUCCUGGAGGAAGGCUAUGAUUGGCCCAGGUUGGGCCACACCCAGUGCUCAAACUUGGACUGAUUAAUUUUAGCCAGAUGUCCUGGAAACUGCAAUUGGUCCAAUCUUUGACUGCAAUGGGGGCAGGCUAGAAGAGGCCAUUCCUGGAAAGGAGGAUGGUGAAAGCAAUAUCAGAUGGUCUCACUUGAUUUUGAAGACAACGCUAUGAGUGCAUCUUAGGGCUGUGUUAUUGUUGCAAAACUUGUUUCAAAAAUAAAUUUCAAUAAAUGAUGAUGGAGGUCUACUCUCACUAAUGACAAGAUUUUUGCAAUUCUCCUGGGCUUUUUCUUCUGUUAUUAUAUGCAAUGGAAAAGGAAACAUCUAAUUAAAUUGAAUCUACAAGAAGCCAUGAGAGGAGAGAAAAGAGAAAGGUUAUCUCCAUCCCUUGUGAUACCUGCUGCUGCCAGAUUGCUGCUUCAUUGAUUUAUGGUGAACACUCAGUUCUCUAUCACAUCACACAGCCCCCAUCCCUCUCUGUCUCUCUCCACCUUCCCCCUUGACUUCCCAGGAUCUCGACACAGUUCUAUGAUCAGCCAUUUCUCUUUCCACAUCACCUUCAUCUGUAAGUCCUCCCCUCCUUCCUCCACCCCUCCCUGGCUGCACCCCUGCCCUCCCUGAGGGCUGCCUGACCUGUCUCACACAACUCUCUGGUUCAGACUGGAAGACUCCUCUCAUCUGUCCUUGAAUUUCCUCUAUUCCUACUCCAUUGUCUUCACCUUUG